rnacentral:misc_RNA from 1 species
GUUCUAUGAAGAAAAAGUCUGCAAUUCGUACUGUAUGGCGACUAUAUUUUAUCUGAGAAC